GACGAACGCUGGCGGCGUGCUUAACACAUGCAAGUCGAACGACAAGGCCCCUUUGGCGGUACUCGAGUGGCGAAAGGGUGUGUAAAACGUGAGUAACCUGCACUUCACUUCGGGAUAACUCCAGGAGACUGGGGCUCAUACCGGGUAGGAAUCCUUGCGACUUGGUGUGGGUUGGAAAACUUCGGCGCGUUUUGAUUGACUCGCGGCUUAUCAGCUUGUUGGUGGGGUAGUGGCUGACCCAGGCUAUGACGGGUACCCUGCCUGGGAGGUCGACAGGCGGCACUGGGACUGAGAUAAGGCCCAGACUGCUACGGGAGGCAGAAGUGGGGAAUAUUGAACAAUGGGCGGAAGGCUGAUGCAGCAACGCUGCGUGCGGGAUGACGGCUUCCGGGUUGAAGAACGCUUGGCGGAGGGGCGACGCUUGUGGUGACGGUACCUGCAGAAGAAGCACCGGCUAACUACGUG
rnacentral:rRNA from 1 species